UACGUAGGGGGCAAGCGUUGGUCCGGAAUCAUUGGGCGUAAAGCGCGCGUAGGCGGCCAGAUUAGUCCGGUGUGAAAGUCAGAGGCUCAACCUUUGAAUGCCGCUGGAAACUGUCUGGCUUGAGUCCGGAAGAGGCGAGUGGAAUUCCCGGUGUAGCGGUGAAAUGCGUAGAGAUCGGGAGGAACACCAGAGGCGAAGGCGGCGACCUGGACAAGUACUGACACUCAACUA
rnacentral:rRNA from 1 species